rnacentral:rRNA from 1 species
AACGUAGGGUGCAAGCGUUGUCCGGAUUUACUGGGCGUAAAGAGCGCGUAGGCGGUCUGUUAAGUGUAGAGUGAAAUCUCUGGGCUCACCCCGGAAACUGCUCUGCAUACUGGCAGACUUGAGGGAAGCAGAGGUUUGUGGAAUUCCUGGUGUAGCGGUGAAAUGCGUUGAUAUCAGGAGGAACACCCAUGGCGAAGGCAGCAAACUGGGCUUCAUCUGACGCUGAUGCGCGAAAGCGUGGGUAGCAAACAGG